UGGGGAAUAUUGGACAAUGGGCGAAAGCCUGAUCCAGCGACGCCGCGUGGGGGAAGAAGGCCUUCGGGUUGUAAACUCCUUUUGUCAGCUAUAAUGGUUGAAGAAUAAGCACCUGCUAACUACGUGCCAGCAGCCGCGGUGAAACGUAGGGUGCGAGCGUUAUCCGGAUUUACUGGGCGUAAAGGGUUGCGUAGGCGGUAUAUUAAGUCAAAACUGAAAUCUCCUCGCUCAACGAGGAAAACGGUUUUGAUACUAAUAUGCUUUGAGGCUCACAGAGGUAGCUGGAACUUGCAAUGGAGCGGUGAAAUGCGUUGAGAUUGCAAGGAACACCAAUGGCGUAGGCAGGCUACUGGGUGAGAUCUGACGCUGAUGCACGACAGCUAGGGGAGCGAAGCGGAUUAGAUACCCAUGUAGUCCCUGAGCGGGCUGGCAAGGCGCAU
rnacentral:rRNA from 1 species